AAGCAGAUGAAAUAUUACCUUAGGCAGAAUAUUUCAUUUUCCUUCACUCUCUCUACCCUCACUCAAAUUUACAUAAUGAUCCUCUGGUUGGAUAUAAGCUUAACUGAAUUAUUGUUUGGUCACUGUUUAGGAACAGAUAUUAAAUCAGCUAAAAUUCAAUCGUAACAGAAAGGCCGUAGAGGCCUUGGGGAUUUGGAGGAAAGAUUUAGUACGUGAGCCUUUUGAUAUCUGAGAGGUUGCCAUUUAUUCAGGGUCAGAACCUCCCUGUGGCAGUUCUGGGGAACAGAAACUGUGGGUGGAAGUUAGAAUAAGCAAGUCAAUUCAAGGAAAGAAGGCUCUUUCAAAUAAUAAGAGUUUUUUUUUUUUUUUCUUUUUAAACUAACAAGGCUGCUUUGGGGGCCACCACUGGGUAGAGGCUGGGUGACCACUUGUCAGAUUGUCCUGCUCUGGAGAGACAAUGACAGACCAUGCAUUCUAUGAUCUCAAAAUUGAUUUGGG
rnacentral:lncRNA from 10 species